UCUCCUUAUCGAUGCACACCCUUUCACGUCUCCCGGUUAUGACGGCGGUGGGAAUGGGGUGCUUCUCGGCAUGGCGGCAAGGGUCAUACUUGGAGGGGAAAUAAUUCACCUCCUCAUCCCUAUGCAUGAAGUUCAUGAAGCCAUCAUGGUGGUUGUUGCGAUGGGGGCAUUUCGGGCAUUCACCGGCAGCAUCAGGUGGUUGGGCCCAAGCCUAUGGCGCUGCGUGUCUCCAUACGCAAAAGUCCGGCAUUGAAGCAUCUUGUCGUUGGAGAAGUAAAUCCCGGGCACGAUGACGGAGGGAUUGAAGGCCAGCUGCUCAUUCUCCGUGAAGAAAUUGUCAAUGUUCUUGUUGAGCACCAUCCUCCCCACGGGCUGCAGGGCAGGAUGUCCUCCGGCCACGUCAGCGUCACGUCCAGCGGGUCGAAGUCGAACUUGUCCUCGUCCGCCGGGUCCAUGAUCUGGAUGAACAGCUUCCACUCGGGGAAGUUGCCGGCGGUGAUGGAGUCGUACAGAUCCUUGGUGGCGUGGCUGUGGUUGGCGCCGCCGAUCACCUUGGCCUCCUCGUCCGAGAGGCACUUGAUGCCGCAGGUGGGCUUCCAGUGGAACUUCACGUAGUUGACCUUGCCGGCCUUGUUGAUGAGGGUGAAGGUGUGCACGCCGAAGCCCUCCAUGUGCCGGUAGUCCUGCGGGAUGCCGUAGUCGUCGAAGAAGAAGGUGAAGGUGUUGAGGCUCUCCGGGAUGUGGGAGAAGAAGUCCAGGUAACGCCAUGUUUCCUGGAUGUGGGAUUUCGGGUUCGGUUUCAUCGCGUGGAUCAGGUCCGGGAACUUCAUCCCGUCCCGGAUGAAGAACACCGGGAUGUUGUUUCCCACCAUGUCGAAGUUUCCCUAAUCAAUAAAUUAAACAAACACCAAUUUGGUCAUUGUUGAGCUAUUUUUUAAUUUUUCUUUUUAGCAAAUCAUUUGAGCUAAUAUGUACCUCUCUGGUGUAGAAUUUGAUGGCGAAACCCCGAGGGUCCCGAAGGGUUUCGGGGCUGCCGCGUUCGUGGAUGACGGUGGAGAAGCGGAUGAUGAGCGGGGUUUGAACGCCCGGUGCUCGGAGGAAAUCGGCGCAAGUGAGGUGAGAGAUGUCAUGAGUGACCUCGAAGAAUCCCUUGGCGCUCGCACCUCUCGCGUGGACAACACGCUCCGGGAUCCUCUCCCGGGCGAAGUUAGCAACUUUCUCUACCAAAUGGUAGUCCUCCAGGAGGAUGGGGC
rnacentral:lncRNA from 1 species